UACGUAGGGACCGAGCGUUGUCCGGAAUUAUUGGGCGUAAAGCGCGCGUAGGCGGUCCGUUAAGUCGGAUGUGAAAUCCCAGGGCUCAACCCUGGAACUGCAUCCGAUACUGGCGGACUUGAGGAAGGUAGGGGAGAGUGGAAUUCCCGGUGUAGCGGUGGAAUGCGCAGAUAUCGGGAGGAACACCAAUGGCGAAGGCAGCUCUCUGGGCCUUUCCUGACGCUGAGGUGCGAAAGCGUGGGUAGCAAACAGG
rnacentral:misc_RNA from 1 species